GGGUUGUGAGGUUAAGCGACUAAGCGUACACGGUGGAUGCCCUGGCAGUCAGAGGCGAUGAAGGACGUGCUAAUCUGCGAUAAGCGCCGGUAAGGUGAUAUGAACCGUUAUAACCGGCGAUUUCCGAAUGGGGAAACCCAGUGUGACUCGUCACACUAUCAUUAACUGAAUCCAUAGGUUAAUGAGGCGAACCGGGGGAACUGAAACAUCUAAGUACCCCGAGGAAAAGAAAUCAACCGAGAUUCCCCCAGUAGCGGCGAGCGAACGGGGAGGAGCCCAGAGCCUGAAUCAGCAUGUGUGUUAGUGGAAGCGUCUGGAAAGGCGCGCGAUACAGGGUGACAGCCCCGUACACAAAAGCGCAUGUGCUGUGAGCUCGAUGAGUAGGGCGGGACACGUGGUAUCCUGUCUGAAUAUGGGGGGACCAUCCUCCAAGGCUAAAUACUCCUGACUGACCGAUAGUGAACCAGUACCGUGAGGGAAAGGCGAAAAGAACCCCGGCGAGGGGAGUGAAAAAGAACCUGAAACCGUGUACGUACAAGCAGUGGGAGCCCCACCACCAAAGCAUUCUCUGGUGUUGAAGGCCCUGCAAAGCAGCAUCGCGGUGGCGGAGCGUCGUUUGCGACGCCCAACACACAAAACAAGCGGUGAGUGCUUUGGGGUGGGGUGACUGCGUACCUUUUGUAUAAUGGGUCAGCGACUUAUAUUCUGUAGCAAGGUUAACCGAAUAGGGGAGCCGUAGGGAAACCGAGUCUUAACCGGGCGUUAAGUUGCAGGGUAUAGACCCGAAACCCGGUGAUCUAGCCAUGGGCAGGUUGAAGGUUGGGUAACACUAACUGGAGGACCGAACCGACUAAUGUUGAAAAAUUAGCGGAUGACCUGUGGCUGGGGGUGAAAGGCCAAUCAAACCGGGAGAUAGCUGGUUCUCCCCGAAAGCUAUUUAGGUAGCGCCUCGUGAAUUCAUCUCCGGGGGUAGAGCACUGUUUCGGCUAGGGGGCCAUCCCGGCUUACCAACCCGAUGCAAACUGCGAAUACCGGAGAAUGUUAUCACGGGAGACACACGGCGGGUGCUAACGUCCGUCGUGAAGAGGGAAACAACCCAGACCGCCAGCUAAGGUCCCAAAGUCAUGGUUAAGUGGGAAACGAUGUGGGAAGGCCCAGACAGCCAGGAUGUUGGCUUAGAAGCAGCCAUCAUUUAAAGAAAGCGUAAUAGCUCACUGGUCGAGUCGGCCUGCGCGGAAGAUGUAACGGGGCUAAACCAUGCACCGAAGCUGCGGCAGCGACACUCAGGUGUUGUUGGGUAGGGGAGCGUUCUGUAAGCCUGUGAAGGUGGCCUGUGAGGGUUGCUGGAGGUAUCAGAAGUGCGAAUGCUGACAUAAGUAACGAUAAAGCGGGUGAAAAGCCCGCUCGCCGGAAGACCAAGGGUUCCUGUCCAACGUUAAUCGGGGCAGGGUGAGUCGACCCCUAAGGCGAGGCCGAAAGGCGUAGUCGAUGGGAAACGGGUUAAUAUUCCCGUACUUGGUGUUACUGCGAAGGGGGGACGGAGAAGGCUAUGUUGGCCGGGCGACGGUUGUCCCGGUUUAAGCGUGUAGGUGUGUGUUCCAGGUAAAUCCGGUUCACUUUAACACUGAGGCGUGAUGACGAGGCACUACGGUGCUGAAGCAACAAAUGCCCUGCUUCCAGGAAAAGCCUCUAAGCAUCAGGUAACAUCAAAUCGUACCCCAAACCGACACAGGUGGUCAGGUAGAGAAUACCAAGGCGCUUGAGAGAACUCGGGUGAAGGAACUAGGCAAAAUGGUGCCGUAACUUCGGGAGAAGGCACGCUGACACGUAGGUGAAGUGAUUUACUCAUGGAGCUGAAGUCAGUCGAAGAUACCAGCUGGCUGCAACUGUUUAUUAAAACACAGCACUGUGCAAACACGAAAGUGGACGUAUACGGUGUGACGCCUGCCCGGUGCCGGAAGGUUAAUUGAUGGGGUCAGCGCAAGCGAAGCUCCUGAUCGAAGCCCCGGUAAACGGCGGCCGUAACUAUAACGGUCCUAAGGUAGCGAAAUUCCUUGUCGGGUAAGUUCCGACCUGCACGAAUGGCGUAAUGAUGGCCAGGCUGUCUCCACCCGAGACUCAGUGAAAUUGAACUCGCUGUGAAGAUGCAGUGUACCCGCGGCAAGACGGAAAGACCCCGUGAACCUUUACUAUAGCUUGACACUGAACAUUGAGCCUUGAUGUGUAGGAUAGGUGGGAGGCUUUGAAGUGUGGACGCCAGUCUGCAUGGAGCCGACCUUGAAAUACCACCCUUUAAUGUUUGAUGUUCUAACGUGGACCCGUUACCCGGGUUGCGGACAGUGUCUGGUGGGUAGUUUGACUGGGGCGGUCUCCUCCUAAAGAGUAACGGAGGAGCACGAAGGUUGGCUAAUCCUGGUCGGACAUCAGGAGGUUAGUGCAAUGGCAUAAGCCAGCUUGACUGCGAGCGUGACGGCGCGAGCAGGUGCGAAAGCAGGUCAUAGUGAUCCGGUGGUUCUGAAUGGAAGGGCCAUCGCUCAACGGAUAAAAGGUACUCCGGGGAUAACAGGCUGAUACCGCCCAAGAGUUCAUAUCGACGGCGGUGUUUGGCACCUCGAUGUCGGCUCAUCACAUCCUGGGGCUGAAGUAGGUCCCAAGGGUAUGGCUGUUCGCCAUUUAAAGUGGUACGCGAGCUGGGUUUAGAACGUCGUGAGACAGUUCGGUCCCUAUCUGCCGUGGGCGCUGGAGAACUGAGGGGGGCUGCUCCUAGUACGAGAGGACCGGAGUGGACGCAUCACUGGUGUUCGGGUUGUCAUGCCAAUGGCACUGCCCGGUAGCUAAAUGCGGAAGAGAUAAGUGCUGAAAGCAUCUAAGCACGAAACUUGCCCCGAGAUGAGUUCUCCCUGAGACUUAAAGUCUCCUGAAGGAACGUUGAAGACGACGACGUUGAUAGGCCGGGUGUGUAAGCGCAGCGAUGCGUUGAGCUAACCGGUACUAAUGAACCGUGAGGCUUAACCUUACAACGCCGAAG
rnacentral:rRNA from 1 species